UAGGGAAUCUUCCGCAAUGGACGCAAGUCUGACGGAGCAACGCCGCGUGAGUGAAGAAGGAUUUCGGUUCGUAAAACUCUGUUGUUAGAGAAGAACAGCGCAUAGAGUAACUGUUAUGCGUGUGACGGUAUCUAACCAGAAAGCCACGGCUAACUACGUGCCAGCAGCCGCGGUAAUACGUAGGUCCCGAGCGUUGUCCGGAUUUAUUGGGCGUAAAGCGAGCGCAGGCGGUUAGAUAAGUCUGAAGUUAAAGGCAGUGGCUCAACCAUUGUAGGCUUUGGAAACUGUUUAACUUGAGUGCAGAAGGGGAGAGUGGAAUUCCAUGUGUAGCGGUGAAAUGCGUAGAUAUAUGGAGGAACACCGGUGGCGAAAGAGGCUCUCUGGUCUGUAACUGACGCUGAGGCUCGAAAGCGUGGGGAGCGAACAGG
rnacentral:rRNA from 1 species